rnacentral:rRNA from 1 species
GACGAACGCUGGCGGCGUGCUUAACACAUGCAAGUCGAACGGAAAGGCCCUGCUUUUGUGGGGUGCUCGAGUGGCGAACGGGUGAGUAACACGUGAGUAACCUGCCCUUGACUUUGGGAUAACUUCAGGAAACUGAGGCUAAUACCGGAUAGGAGCUCCUGCUGCAUGGUGGGGGUUGGAAAGUUUCGGCGGUUGGGGAUGGACUCGCGGCUUAUCAGCUUGUUGGUGGGGUAGUGGCUUACCAAGGCUUUGACGGGUAGCCGGCCUGAGAGGGUGACCGGCCACAUUGGGACUGAGAUACGGCCCAGACUCCUACGGGAGGCAGCAGUGGGGAAUAUUGCACAAUGGGCGGAAGCCUGAUGCAGCAACGCCGCGUGCGGGAUGAAGGCCUUCGGGUUGUAAACCGCUUUCGCCUGUGACGAAGCGUGAGUGACGGUAAUGGGUAAAGAAGCACCGGCUAACUACGUG